GAAGCGGGAAGAGCUCAAAUUUGAAAUCUUCAAGGUUUUACCCUUGACGAAUUGUAGUUUAAAGAAGUGUUUUCUGUUGAAGUUUUGGUAAAAGUUCUUUGGAAUAGGACAUCAUAGAGGGUGAGAAUCCCGUAUUUGACCAUUAUUUUCAGCUGUGUGAUACACUUUCAAAGAGUCGGAUUGUUUGGGAAUGCAGUCCAAAAUGGGUGGUAAAUUUCAUCUAAAGCUAAAUAUUGGCGAGAGACCGAUAGCGAACAAGUACCGUGAGGGAAAGAUGAAAAGAACUUUGAAAAGAGAGUUAAACAGUACGUGAAAUUGUCAAAAGGGAAGCGUUUGACACCAGUGUUGUUUUCUCGAAAAUCAAUUAAAAAGAGUUUGAUUUUGUUGUGUAUUGACCUUAACAGCUUGCAUUUCAAUUUUCUUGCUUUUUUUAAUGCACUUUUCGUUUAACAAGUCAACAUCAGUUUCUUUUGUUGUAAAAAGGUCAUUGGAAGGUGGCUUUCUUUUCGGAGAAAGUGUUUAUAGCCUUUGACUCCUGCAAUCGGAGAGACUGAGGUCUGCAGCGUAGAUCCUUCGGGGUUAGAUACAUUUGUGCUAAGUUAUAGCUUUUUAUAGACAACUUGUUACUAUGAUUAGUCUUGUAGCUUACUCGCUUAUGCUAUUUUCC
rnacentral:rRNA from 1 species